AUUUGCUUCCAAAUUAGGCUGUGAACUCUUCCAUGGCAGUAGCUCUGUCAGUUACCUCUGGAUUACUGUGACCACCACUGGACUAGGCACGUGCUAAACACUCAAUAGAUGUAGGUUGAAUGAAUGAAUGGCUUUUGGAUGAACCCGUGGCAAGAUGAGAGUUGGCACUGGGCGGAGAAUGGAUUUGCUACAGGAAUAAGACUGGAGGCAAGGAGACACUUGGUUUAUAGAAGAACUUCCAGCUUCAGGUAAUGGAGGAGUAAUUCCUUUCUGACCAGGCCUCCCGUAACUCAUUCUCAAUUCUGGAAAAAUACUGAAAGUAAAAGCACUGGAGAGCAACCAAUAACAGGCAGAAACUGGAGGGGGAGUUGACACUGGAAAAAAAUAGCACUGAGUGUUCUGUCUUUAUAGCUUGUUGCCUGAACACAGGCCCCAGUUAACUUCAUGUGAAACAACUAAAGC
rnacentral:lncRNA from 1 species